AUUCUUUAAAAUCAUACAGAAUUUCAAUCAAAUACACCCCUAAAUGGAGACCAACUAAAAAAAUACCAAAGUAACAAAAAAAGACCCAAAAUAAAUGGAGUCCGAAAAUCGAGCCUAAUUUCUAAUGAGCACUAAUUUCUGAAAAAAAAAAACAAUGGAGUCCAUUUCCAUUUCCAAAAUAAAAAAUCGAGUCCAUUUCCAAUUUCCCAAAAAUGAAGCCCAAUUUCUAAUGAACACUAAUUGAGUCCAAAACAAUAAAUAAAAUAUUUUAAUUAUAAAAGGCAGCCCUAAUUCUUCUUCUUCAACCUGCCGCAUCUGCUCUUCUUCUC
rnacentral:lncRNA from 1 species